rnacentral:pre_miRNA from 1 species
CUAUAAUUUCAGAUUCCUCCACUUUUGGUCCCUCAUUUCAUUUUACGUAUCAUGUAUGCAGAUUCUGCUUACGUGAUGGAAUGAGGGACCAAAAGUGGAAGAAUAUGAAAUUACAA